rnacentral:rRNA from 1 species
UACGGGGGGGGCAAGCGUUGUUCGGAAUUACUGGGCGUAAAGGGCUCGUAGGUGGCCAACUAAGUCAGACGUGAAAUCCCUCGCUAACCGGGGAACUGCGUCUGAUACUGGAUGGCUUGAGUUUGGGAGAGGGACGCGGAAUUCCAGGUGUAGCGGUGAAAUGCGUAGAUAUCUGGAGGAACACCGGUGGCGAAGGCGGCGUCCUGGACCAAUACUGACACUGAGUGAGCGAAAGCCAGGGGAGCAAACGGG